AGUGAACGCUGGCGGUAGGCCUAACACAUGCAAGUCAAACGGCAGCACAGUAAGAGCUUGCUCUUACGGGUGGCGAGUGGCGGACGGGUGAGGAAUACAUCGGAAUCUACUUUUUCGUGGGGGAUAACGUAGGGAAACUUACGCUAAUACCGCAUACGACCUACGGGUGAAAGCAGGGGAUCUUCGGACCUUGCGCGAUUGAAUGAGCCGAUGUCGGAUUAGCUAGUUGGCGGGGUAAAGGCCCACCAAGGCGACGAUCCGUAGCUGGUCUGAGAGGAUGAUCAGCCACACUGGAACUGAGACACGGUCCAGACUCCUACGGGAGGCAGCAGUGGGGAAUAUUGGACAAUGGGCGCAAGCCUGAUCCAGCCAUACCGCGUGGGUGAAGAAGGCCUUCGGGUUGUAAAGCCCUUUUGUUGAGAAAGAAAAGCAGCAGGUUAAUACCCCGCUGUUCUGACGGUACCCAAAGAAUAAGCACCGGCUAACUUCGUG
rnacentral:rRNA from 1 species